rnacentral:sRNA from 1 species
UCACCGAAACCGGAGGAACCCAUGAAGUUCAAACACAUCCUGAUGCUCACCCUCGGUGCCGCCGCAGUGGCCGCGCUUCCUGCCAUGGCCCAGGCGGCCCCGCAGCAGACCGGUCAGGGCGCCAGCGCACAGAAGGCCGAAGACGCCAAGGCCAAGACCGAAGCCGAGCGCAAGGCCGAGCGCCGUGCCGCCGCUGCGGCGCAAAAGCCCAAGGCCGACAGCGCUCCGCGCGAGGAAGAGGAAGAAGAAAAGCCGGCGCGCUGAUGCUCCUGCGCCUCGGCGAUGCGCCACACGGACGCCCCGGCUUCGGCCGGGGCGUCUGCAUUUACGGCAUGCGCCU